GCCCUCGUAGUUCAACGGAUAGAACGUCAGUCUUCGGAACUGAAGAUAGGGGUUCGAUUCCCUUCGGGGGCA
rnacentral:tRNA from 4 species